rnacentral:rRNA from 1 species
UCUGGGACAAGCCCUGUAAACGGGGUCUAAUACCGGAUACCACUCCUGCCUGCAUGGGCGGGGGUUGAAAGCUCCGGCGGUGAAGGAUGAGCCCGCGGCCUAUCAGCUUGUUGGUGGGGUAAUGGCCUACCAAGGCGACGACGGGUAGCCGGCCUGAGAGGGCGACCGGCCACACUGGGACUGAGACACGGCCCAGACUCCUACGGGAGGCAGCAGUGGGGAAUAUUGCACAAUGGGCGAAAGCCUGAUGCAGCGACGCCGCGUGAGGGAUGACGGCCUUCGGGUUGUAAACCUCUUUCAGCAGGGAAGAAGCGAAAGUGACGGUACCUGCAGAAGAAGCGCCGGCUAACUACGUGCCAGCAGCCGCGGUAAUACGUAGGGCGCAAGCGUUGUCCGGAAUUAUUGGGCGUAAAGAGCUCGUAGGCGGCUUGUCACGUCGGAUGUGAAAGCCCGAGGCUUAACCUCGGGUCUGCAUUCGAUACGGGCUAGCUAGAGUGUGGUAGGGGAGAUCGGAAUUCCUGGUGUAGCGGUGAAAUGCGCAGAUAUCAGGAGGAACACCGGUGGCGAAGGCGGAUCUCUGGGCCAUUACUGACGCUGAGGAGCGAAAGCGUGGGGAGCGAACAGGAUUAGAUACCCUGGUAGUCCACGCCGUAAACGUUGGGAACUAGGUGUUGGCGACAUUCCACGUCGUCGGUGCCGCAGCUAACGCAUUAAGUUCCCCGCCUGG